AUUGAACGCUGGCGGCAGGCCUAACACAUGCAAGUCGAGCGGAGCGGCGGACGGGUGAGUAGUGCCUAGGAAUCUGCCUGUUAGUGGGGGAUCACGUCCGUACACGGGCGCUAAUACCGCCUACUAUCAGCUGAGCCUAGGUCUCAUUAGCUGGUUGGGGGGGUAAAGGCCUACCAAGGCGACGAUCCAUAACUGGUCUGAGAGGAUGAUCAGUCACACUGGAAGUGAGGCACGGUCCAGUCGCCUCCGUGAGGGAGCAGUGGGGAAUAUUGGACAACGGGCGAAAGCCCUAUCAAGCCAUGCCGCGUGUGUGAAGAAGGUCUUCGGAUUGUAAAGCACUUCAAGUUGGGAGGCGUUACCAACAGAAUAAGCACCGGCUAACUUCGUGCCAGCAGCCGCGGUAAUAC
rnacentral:rRNA from 1 species